rnacentral:rRNA from 1 species
GCACCAGGCGCGAAAACUUUACAAUGCCGGCAACGGCGAUAAGGGAACCUCGAGUGCCAGGUUACAAAUCUGGCUGUCGUGAUGCCUAAAAAGCAUUGCAUAGCAAGGGCCGGGCAAGACCGGUGCCAGCCGCCGCGGUAACACCGGCGGCUCGAGUGGUAACCGUUAUUAUUGGGUCUAAAGGGUCUGUAGCCGGCCGGAUAAGUCUCUUGGGAAAUCUGGCAGCUUAACUGUCAGGCUUUCAGGAGAUACUGUCUGGCUCGAGGCCGGGAGAGGUGAGAGGUACUUCAGGGGUAGGGGUGAAAUCUUGUAAUCCUUGAAGGACCACCAGUGGCGAAGGCGUCUCACCAGAACGGACCUGACGGCAAGGGACGAAAGCUAGGGGCACGAACCGGAUUAGAUACCCGGGUAGUCCUAGCCGUAAACGAUACUCGCUAGGUGUCGGCCACGGUGCGACCGUGGUCGGUGCCGUAGGGAAGCCGUGAAGCGAGCCACCUGGGAAGUACGGCCGCAAGGCUGAAACUUAAAGGAAUUGGCGGGGGAGCACAAGGGCGAUUGCG